rnacentral:rRNA from 1 species
AACGAACGCUGGCGGCAGGCCUAACACAUGCAAGUCGAGCGCCCCGCAAGGGGAGCGGCAGACGGGUGAGUAACGCGUGGGAAUCUACCUAGUGGUACGGAAUAGCCCCGGGAAACUUGGAGUAAUACCGUAUACGCCCGAAAGGGGAAAGAUUUAUCGCCAUUAGAUGAGCCCGCGUUGGAUUAGCUAGUUGGCGGGGUAACGGCCCACCAAGGCGACGAUCCAUAGCUGGUCUGAGAGGAUGAUCAGCCACACUGGGACUGAGACACGGCCCAGACUCCUACGGGAGGCAGCAGUGGGGAAUAUUGGACAAUGGGCGCAAGCCUGAUCCAGCCAUGCCGCGUGAGUGACGAAGGUCUUCGGAUUGUAAAGCUCUUUUGGCGGGGACGAUAAUGACGGUACCCGCAGAAUAAGCCCCGGCUAACUUCGUGCCAGCCGCCGCGGUAACAC